AGUGAACGCUGGCGGCAGGCCUAACACAUGCAAGUCGAACGGCAGCACAGUAAGAGCUUGCUCUUACGGGUGGCGAGUGGCGGACGGGUGAGGAAUACAUCGGAAUCUACUUUUUCGUGGGGGAUAACGUAGGGAAACUUACGCUAAUACCGCAUCCCCCCCACCGGUGAAAGCAGAGGAUCUUCGCACCUUGCGCGACUGAACGAGCCGAUGCCGGACUAGCUAGUUGGCGGGGUAAAGGCCCACCAAGGCGGCGAUCCGUAGCUGGUCUGAGAGGAUGAUCGGCGGCACUGGAGCGGGGACACGGUCCAGAGUCCUGCGGGAGGCAGCAGUGGGGAAUAUGGGACAAUGGGGGCAAGCGUGAUCCAGCGAGAGCGCGUGGGUGGAGAAGGCGUUGGGGUUGUAAAGCCGUGUUGUGGGGGGAGAAAAGCAGCGGGUUGAUACGCCGCUGUUCUGACGGUACCGAAAGAGUAAGCACCGGCUAACUUCGUG
rnacentral:rRNA from 1 species